CAGGCUGAGGGUCACAAUGCCUACUUGUGCCCAGGGCAGCCCUCAGGAGUGGGCGUGGUCUCAUUGGCCAUUCAGCAGGCUCCCACUCUGAGGGUUGGACACCCAUCCCAACA